rnacentral:lncRNA from 1 species
GUUUCUUCCUAAGCUGAGUGAAUCUGGACACUUUCUAACUUGGAACAAAUCACACAGACAAAAUGAAGAUAAAAUGCCCCCAUCCAGGUUGCAGCCUGACACUUCUGCCUCUUUUCCCUCUGGGUAUAUCUUACUGGGUCUUUGCAGGUCAUGGCUGGACUGUUGUGUCUGUCCACUGCAAGAAAUUUGAAGUAACAAAAUGGCCUCCUUAAUCAGGAAUCAGUUUCCAUCACAUUCUUGGGAGCUAAGCACCCAGUUUUAGUCUCCAGACUGCUGAGCUCCUCAACAGAUCUUCAUGACUGCCUGGCUUUUAUGUGGAUUCUAGAGAUAACCCAAACUGGCAUCUCCCUGCUUGUGUGACAAGAAUUUGACAACUCCCCAGCCCAGCUAUUAGACUUUUAAAGUUCAUUUUCUUUGGUUCCCAUUUACAUGGUACACUGGCAAGC